GUUCUACUCCCUCCCUUCGGAAUUACUUGUCACAAAAAUGGAUGUAUCUACAACUAAAAUACAUCUAGAUACAUUUAUUUCUUGGACGAGUAAUUCCGAACGGAGGGAGUACUUA
rnacentral:pre_miRNA from 1 species